rnacentral:rRNA from 1 species
GCAGCAACGCCGCGUGAGGGACGAAGGCCUUCGGGUUGUAAACCUCUUUUAGCAGGGAAGAAGCGAAAGUGACGGUACCUGCAGAAAAAGCACCGGCUAACUACGUGCCAGCAGCCGCGGUAAUACGUAGGGUGCAAGCGUUGUCCGGAAUUAUUGGGCGUAAAGAGCUCGUAGGCGGUUUGUCGCGUCUGCUGUGAAAACCCGAGGCUCAACCUCGGGCUUGCAGUGGGUACGGGCAGACUAGAGUGCGGUAGGGGAGAUUGGAAUUCCUGGUGUAGCGGUGGAAUGCGCAGAUAUCAGGAGGAACACCGAUGGCGAAGGCAGAUCUCUGGGCCGUAACUGACGCUGAGGAGCGAAAGCAUGGGGAGCAAACAGGCUUAGAUACCCUGGUAGUCCAUGCCGUAAACGUUGGGAACUAGAUGUGGGGACCAUUCCACGGUCUCCGUGUCGUAGCUAACGCAUUAAGUUCCCCGCCUGGGGAGUACGGCCGCAAGGCUAAAACUC